CAUACCACCGAGACUCGGUCCUCCAAAGGCGGAGCACGGGCAGGGUGUGCUGCCGGAACCGCCAAGGGAGGGUCAGUGCCGGGGGUACCAGCCGGGAGCGCGGUCAGCCCGCACGAGCAAGUAGAAUAUGAGCAAAGACAGCGCUGGAUGACAGGGGAGUCUGCGCUCCACCAACUGCUGCCCUGAUCAGUUCAAACAGCCCCCUUUUUAUUCCAUUUUUCAUGAAGUAGUGGGGAACCCUUUUGUCUUCCUGGAAUUUCUUGCAAGCCAGUUCCUGGAACGUCUUGCAGUUAUCUUAUGUUUGCAUAAGCAGUCUCUGAUAAUGGUCAUUGCCCACCCCCUGCCCCCCAGCUCUGGGAGUAUCGCGAUGGGUGAGAGGCAGCCCGGGAUCCUGCGAGGGUUGGAAGCCAGAUUCUGCUGCUUCCUUCCGGUGGGGGUGGUUGACUUCGGGCAGCCACGCAGCGUGUGCGUCUGACUGGAACUGCUGUUGCCUUGUGGUUUUUGUCUGUUUCUUUUUUUUUUUUUUUUUUAACCUGACAGCCCGUGCCCGCCCGGAUACCCUGCGGCUUCUGGUAUAGCUCGUGAGUCUUUGCUACACUUUGCCACUCCGGCUGUGCUCGCUUUUGCUGUUCCAGCCUGCUGCUCUGACGUUUCCUCCUGCAGUCCAUUCAGCUUCCCGAGUGUCACUUAGACUGGCUGCUUCCUGUGAUUUUGCAAAGGAAGUCCCUUUUCUCUCUCCCACUUACUUGUCUGGUAAAAUGGGUCCUUCUAUUGCUAUGUAAUGUUAGAGGAAUACUAAACUCAGGAAUUAGUUCUCUCAGCAACCUUUUUCAACAGUUGUUGCAUCAGCUUAUUUACAAGUGAUAUAAAACUUCGAUAGCCAAA